AUGGGGGGAGGGGAGUGCCAAGAACAAGGAGCAAAAGCAAGCCAUCGGCAGCAAGAGCCGGCCACAGAGAGAAGAAGCCUGCAGAACAUUCCCAGCAGAGGGACCAGCAGCUACAAAAGCCCAGGAGAAAAACAGAAAUGGAACGCUGAGGAACAUGAAGGAGGUGAAUCUGACUACGGUUUCGAGACUCAAGAGAAGAGCGGCAUGAUGAUGGGGAGACCAGAAGAUAUUCCAGAGGAUGUUGUGAAGCUCUGGCAUGUGGGGCUUGAUGCUUCCUGUUCAUACCUAGCUGUCCCUCCCCCCACCUCUUCACCCGAGUACACACGGGGCCCUUCUGUGACCUACCUGCCGACAGUAACUGCAGCCCUGGCGUGGACCAGCAGCGGGGUCCAGAAAGCCACGGUCACCCAGCACAGCGGUUUCCCACACACGCUCUCGAGGUUGCGGGCGGACGGCUGCCGGGGGCCCAUCGUCAGCUGCACGCCUAAUGCUCAGCAGCACAUUGUUACCAUGAAGCCAUGGGACAUGGAAAAGAUUCAUAUUCAUAUUGUCCUCGGUGCACAGGCAGAUUCAGGAAGUCUACCACUGCUGGCCGUCUGAUACACAAAUGCGGCGGGAAGAAGAGAACUAUGGAAAAACUUGAGGAGGCAGCUGUUGAGGUGGGAAAGGGCUCCCUCAAGUAUGCCUGGGUCUUGGAUAAACUGAGAAUUGAAUGUGAUCAUGUUACCACCACUGAUAGCGCCCUGCGGAAACUCAAGACCAGCAAGUAUGAGGUGACCUCCACGGAUACCAGAGGACACAGAGACUGUAUCAAAAACAUGAUUACAGGCACAACUCGGGCAGACUCUGCUGUCCUGAUUGUUGCUGCUGGUGUUAAGGAAUUUGAAGCAGGUACCUCCAGGAAUGGGCAGACCCAUGAUCAUGCUCUUCUGAUCUCACACGGGGUGUGAAAGAACUGUUGGUAUUAAGAAAACGGAUUCCAUUGAGCCACCCUGGAGCCGGAAGAGACACACAAAAAAAUCAUUAAGCAAGUCUGCACCUACAUAAUAAAAUUGGCCACAACCGCCACACAGUAGACUUGGUGCCAGUUUCUGGUUGGAAUGGUGACAGCAUGCUGGAGCCAACUGCUAACAUGCCUUGGUUCAAGGGAUGAAAAUUCUCUGGUGAAGAUGGCAAUGUUAGUGCAACCAUAUCGCUGGAAGCUCUAGACUGCUCUUGCCACCAGCUCAUCCAACUGACCAGCUCUUAGGUCUAUCUCUCCAAGACAUGUACAGAAUGGAUGGUAUUGGCACCAGGGCCAUGUGGAGAGUGGGGUUUUCAAACCCUGCAGGAUGGCCACCUCUUCUCCAGUUGACAUUGCAACUGAUGUAAACUCUGAUGAAAUGCACCAUGAAGCUUUGAGUGAAGCUCUUCCUGGGGACAAAGAGGGCUUCAUUGUCAAGAAUGUGUCUCUCAAAUAUGUUUGUUGUGGUAUUGUGCCUGGUGAUAGCAAAAGUGACUCAGCAAUGGAAACAGGUGACUUCAUGGCUCAGGUAAUUCUCCUGAAUAAUCCAGGCCAAAUCAAUGCCAGAUAUGCACCUGUGCUGGAUUAUCGGCCAGCUCACACUGCUUGCAAAUUUGCUGAAGUUCCACCAUCAUGCUGGGGGAAAGGCUGAAAGAUGACCCAAAUCCUUGAAAUCUAAUGAAGCUCCAUUGUUGAUAUGGUUUCUGACAAGCUCCUGUGUGUUGAGAGCUUCCCUGAC